GCCUCGUUGGCGCAGUAGGCAGCGCGUCUGACUCAUGAUCCGAAGGUCGUGAGUUUGAGCCUCACAUGGGGCA